CCUACGGGAGGCAGCAGUGAGGAAUAUUGGUCAAUGGGCGCAAGCCUGAACCAGCCAAGUCGCGUGAGGGAAGACGGUCCUAUGGAUUGUAAACUUCUUUUGUCGGGGAGCAAAAGACGCCACGCGUGGCGUUCCGAGAGUACCCGAAGAAAAAGCAUCGGCUAACUCCGUGCCAGCAGCCGCGGUAAUACGGAGGAUGCGAGCGUUAUCCGGAUUUAUUGGGUUUAAAGGGAGCGCAGGCGGAAGAUAAAGUCUGCGGUAAAAUUGAUAGGCUCAACCUCUUCGAGCCGUUGAAACUGGUUGUCUUGAGUGAGCGAGAAGUAUGCGGAAUGCGUGGUGUAGCGGUGAAAUGCAUAGAUAUCACGCAGAACUCCGAUUGCGAAGGCAGCAUACCGGCGCGCAACUGACGCUCAUGCACGAAAGUGUGGGUAUCGAACAGGAUUAGAUACCCCUGUAGUC
rnacentral:rRNA from 1 species